UUGACCUCAAAUCAGGUAGGACUACCCGCUGAACUUAAGCAUAUCAAUAAGCGGAGGAAAAGAAACUAACGAGGAUUCCCCUAGUAACUGCGAGUGAAGAGGGAAGAGCUCAAAUUUGAAAUCUGGCAGUCUGUUUUUUCUUCUUUGGCUGUCCGAGUUGUAAUCUAGAGAAGCGCUUACCUGC
rnacentral:rRNA from 1 species